rnacentral:lncRNA from 1 species
GCAUUACCACCGACCAGUCCUCAGCCGGCAACAUGAAGCUGGGUGGCCUCUGCCUCCUGCUCCUCCUCGCCGUCCUUCUCACCCUCAAUGCAGAGCUCCAGGCAGUUGAUGUAGGUAUCUGUGUGACGGAGUGCAAGGUAGACCAGGACUGUGGGGCAGGAAGACGAUGCACCAGCAAUGGAUGUGGCCGGGUCUGCUCCCCAAUCCAGCAAAGAGAGGCCUGCGAGCACCAGUGCAGAGAAGACAGGGACUGUGGGAGUGGACAUCAGUGCGUGAGGAAGGGCUGUGGGCACGUCUGCGCCCCCGUCCAUCAAGUCGAUGUAGGUAUCUGUGUGACGGAGUGCCGUGUAGACCAGGACUGUGGGGAAGGAAGACUAUGCAUCAGUAAUGGGUGUGGCCGUGUCUGCUUCCCAGUCCGGCGAAGAGAGGCCUGCGAGCACCAGUGCAGAGAAGACAGGGACUGUGGGAGUGGACAUCAGUGCGUGAGGAAGGGCUGUGGGCACGUCUGCGCCCCCGUCCAUCAAGUCGAUGUAGGUAUCUGUGUGACGGAGUGCCGUGUAGACCAGGACUGUGGGGAAGGAAGACUAUGCAUCAGUAAUGGGUGUGGCCGUGUCUGCUUCCCAGGGCGAAAAGAGGGCUGCGAGCACCAGUGCAGAGAAGACAGGGACUGUGGGAGUGGACAUCAGUGCGUGAGGAAGGGCUGUGGGCACGUCUGCGCCCCCGUCCAUCAAGUCGUAGGUAUCUGUGUGACGGAGUGCAACGUAGACCAGGACUGUGGGGAAGGAAGACAAUGCACCAGCAAUGGGUGUGGCCGUGUCUGCUCCCCAGUCCAGCAAGAAGACGUAGGUAUCUGUGUGACGGAGUGCAAUGUAGACCAGGACUGUGGGGCAGGAAGACGAUGCACCAGCAAUGGAUGUGGCCGUGUCUGCUCCCCACCCCAGGGAGGAGGACUCUGUGUGGACCGCUGCCGAGGAAACUGGGACUGUGGGGCCGGAGAAGAAUGUAUCAGGAAGGGAUGUGGACGGGUCUGCUCUCCAGCCCAGGAGCCAGUGGUAGGUAUCUGUGUGGAUCAGUGCCAAAGACACUGGGAAUGUGGUCCACGGAUGCGGUGUGUCUCCACUGGAUGUGGCCACAUCUGCUCACCAGCCCAAGACCAAGUUGAACAGAGACCCGGAAAAUGUCCAGUGUUGCCAAAAGGAACGAUUGGACUUUGUGCUGAAUUUUGCUUCGGGGAUGACUCCUGUCCCAGCGGACAGAAGUGCUGCAGCAAUGGUUGUGGACACUCUUGCCAGACUGCUGUUCCAGACGAGAAAACCUUCCCUAGCCGUUUGGAUGACUGAUGAACCUUGGCCUCCUUCCAUAAUUGUUCCCACAUGUCACCUUUAUUUGAAGAGCUGGGCUUUUCCAGGAACUCCACCUUUGCCAGGAACCCCAGGAUCAUGGGGUGAGGUUCUAGAAUAACUUGGCUUAAGGGUUGAAUUCUGGCAAUUGUUCAAGGAAUAGUGCUUGCAAAGGAUCCUUCUUCUGAAUAAAACGACUUCUCUGGCAU